rnacentral:rRNA from 1 species
UACGUAGGGGGCAAGCGUUGUCCGGAUUUAUUGGGCGUAAAGAGCGUGUAGGCGGUUAGGUAGGUCCGUUGUGAAAACUCGAGGCUCAACCUCGAGACGCCGAUGGAAACCAUCUGACUAGAGUCCGGAAGAGGAGAGUGGAAUUCCUGGUGUAGCGGUGAAAUGCGCAGAUAUCAGGAGGAACACCGAUGGCGAAGGCAGGUCUCUGGGCUGACACUGACGCUCAUGCACGAAAGCGUGGGGAGCAAACAGG